GGGAGUGUAGCUUAGAGGUAGAGCACUUGCCUUGUGUGUAAGGCCCUGGGUUUGAUUCCCAGCACAGCAA
rnacentral:tRNA from 1 species